rnacentral:misc_RNA from 1 species
UUGCGCCACCACCCCCUUUGUAGACAGACUAUCGCCAGGAGUCGACCCACCCCCUCGUCUCCCCCUUCCCCUCAGAUGUCACGUGGCUAGUAUUGACGUCAGUCGUUCCUCAUGACACGCGCAUGGGGUGGAGUUCGUCCUGUUUUCUGUGGGCUGUGGUGGGUGGAGGGGUGUACGGGUACUGCUCGCGGUAGGAGAGUCACGAAGAGGAGUAAAACGGCCACAUACAGCAGCGUCUUGAGUGGAAGAGAAGUUGGUUUCAACCAGAGAUUUUCCUCAAAGGAACUGAGAACCCAAAUAAUGCAAUAUGGAGACAGUUGACAGCUACACCUUCCAGAACAAGAUUAAUCAAAGUCUUCAAGAAGAUGAUGCCCUUUUUACAAAUCAGAAUGUUGGAAGGCAAGUUGAAGCUCUGUUUGAAGCUGGUAGUCAUAACUUACAGAAUGGUAUCAGCUACACUGGAAAUGGACAUGAAUUAUUGGGGCAUUCUUUAACACAACCACCACAAGUAAAUACAUCAUUGACUGGCACCUUAAGUAUGUUAGAUUACAAUAAAACCAAUGAAUUUGCACCAUUUUUAAACUCUGGAAAGAGGUCUUGGGUGUUUGGGAAAGAUCGUUUGAGUUGGGAUGGUUCCCCUGUAGCUAGUUAUAAUGUUGAGAGUAAACUUUUUCGCUGUGUUGUAUGUAACACUACAGGUUUUCUCUCACGAAUUGCAGAACAUUAUCUUGGUACCCAUGCUAAUGCUAAGGUAUUUCAGUGCCCUCGAUGCCCAUACAGCAGUGCAUGGUCAAGAUGUGUUCGCAUGCACAUGAGUAAACACCAUGGAAUACAAAAUGCUCCAGAAUCAUUAUGGAGAGGUCAACCUCUGCUGGAUGAAAUUGUAAGGAUUUUGACCAAGCUAAAGAAUACAGUGGAUGGUACAAGUAAGGAUCUCCUGAGAUCCCCAGUUCCAGAUAAAAGAUAUGCAUGCCCUAAAUGUCCAUAUGCCACAGAUAGAAAAGAUUUGUAUUCUCGCCAUGAAAACAUCCAUAAAGAUGAUAAACCAUUCCAUUGCUAUGUUUGUCUUAAGAUGUUCAAUAGAGCAGACCAUGUGAAAAAGCACUUCUUCCGAAUUCAUAAAGAACACUCAUAUGACAUCAGUCGCAUCAGGCGAUAUCCUACUAAGACUGGUGCUGUUAAUGGAGAAGUUUCAAGAAAAGCUACUUUAAAUGUAAUGAACAUGCAAUCUCACUGUAGUUUUCAGUCUACUGUACAUGCCAAUCAUCCUAUGGUAAAUAAGCAAAACAAUGAAAAUCUUGACGUGGAUCAAAAAAAUGUCAAGAAACGACCACCAAAAUCUUUUCAAUGUACCUAUUGUUCAUGGCGAGGAGUUGACAGUUGGUGUUUACGUCGCCACUUGAACACACACAUCAAACCAUUUGCUUGUUCCCUUUGUGAAUACAAGGCUGCUCGAUCUGAGCGAUUGGCUACCCACAUAUUGAAGAUACAUAAAAAACAUGCAUGCUGCAAAUGUACUUUUCUGACAGAUACCGAGAAGUUAUUAUGGACACAUGUUAGGGAAAACCACAUUCACUCUUCAGAUGCUACUUUGAAGUGUAGUCAGUGUAGUGAUACAUUUGAUUCCCGAUCAGACCUGGAAACACACUGUAUAUUAAUCCAUAAGAAAUCUUUGCUAGAAUGUUGUAUUGAUAACUGCGAUUUUCGUACCACAGAUAUUGCAAUACUUAAUCAACAUCGUCUGGAAAAACAUGGUACCCAUCGAGGUCUUUAAAGAUGGUUGAAGAGUCAAGCUAUAGUGACCAUCACAAGCUUUUGAUGAAAAAUUUGACCAAUAGUCAAGAGGUCCAGCAUUUAUGGGACAGGCUAGUUAAAGCCAAGUGGAACUUGAUAAAGGACCGAGCAGACUUAAAAAUGUCACUGGCCCAAAUCAAAAGACAACGGCAACACUGAAAGUUCUGUUGGUGGAUUAAAGUGAGUGAAGUAAAGCCUCAACCACUUUCUGAGGUGAAUGUAUGUUUCGUAUUUUAUUUUUAAUUUGGACUGCCCUUCAUCUUCCACACUCAUGAGUGCAUGUGAAAGACAGGAGCCUAGCAGUUUGUUUUUUAU